GUGGGGAAUAUUGGACAAUGGGCGAAAGCCUGAUCCAGCCAUGCCGCGUGUGUGAAGAAGGUCUUCGGAUUGUAAAGCACUUUAAGUUGGGAGGAAGGGCAGUAAGUUAAUACCUUGCUGUUUUGACGUUACCGACAGAAUAAGCACCGGCUAACUUCGUGCCAGCAGCCGCGGUAAUACGAAGGGUGCAAGCGUUAAUCGGAAUUACUGGGCGUAAAGCGCGCGUAGGUGGUUUUGUAAGUUGGAGGUGAAAUCCCCGGGCUCAACCUGGGAACUGCCUCCAAAACUGGCGAGCUAGAGUACGGUAGAGGGUGGUGGAAUUUCCUGUGUAGCGGUGAAAUGCGUAGAUAUAGGAAGGAACACCAGUGGCGAAGGCGACCACCUGGACUGAUACUGACACUGAGGUGCGAAAGCGUGGGGAGCAAACAGGAUUAGAUACCCUAGUAGUCC
rnacentral:rRNA from 1 species